AACCUUCCUUCAAGCGGGAAUAGCCCAGAGAAAUUUGGAUUAAUACCCCAUAAUAUAUUUGAUAAGGCAUCUUAUUAAUAUUAAAGCUUCGGCACUUGAUGAUGGGUGUGCGGCUGAUUAGAUAGUUGGCGGGGUAACGGCCCACCAAGUCUACGAUCAGUAGCUGAUGUGAGAGCAUGAUCAGCCACACGGGCACUGAGACACGGGCCCGACUCCUACGGGAGGCAGCAGUAAGGAAUAUUGGACAAUGGACGAAAGUCUGAUCCAGCCAUGCCGCGUGAAGGAUUAAGGUCCUCUGGAUUGUAAACUUCUUUUAUAUGGGACGAAAAAAGGGCAUUCUUGUUCACUUGACGGUACCAUAUGAAUAAGCACCGGCUAACUCCGUG
rnacentral:rRNA from 1 species